AAGCAGGGGAUCGCAAGACCUUGCGCUUUUGGAGUGGCCGAUGCCUGAUUAGCUAGUUGGUGGGGUAAGGGCCUACCAAGGCAACGAUCAGUAGUUGGUCUGAGAGGACGACCAGCCACACUGGGACUGAGACACGGCCCAGACUCCUACGGGAGGCAGCAGUGGGGAAUUUUGGACAAUGGGCGAAAGCCUGAUCCAGCAAUGCCGCGUGAGUGAAGAAGGCCUUCGGGUUGUAAAGCUCUUUCAGUCGAGAAGAAAAGGUUGUGACUAAUAAUCACAACUUAUGACGGUACCGACAGAAGAAGCACCGGCUAACUACGUGCCAGCAGCCGCGGUAAUACGUAGGGUGCGAGCGUUAAUCGGAAUUACUGGGCGUAAAGGGUGCGCAGGCGGCUUUGUAAGUCAGAUGUGAAAUCCCCGGGCUUAACCUGGGAAUUGCGUUUGAAACUACAAAGCUUAGA
rnacentral:rRNA from 1 species